GGGCUCGUGGUGUAGAGGCCUAACAUGCCUCCCUGUCACGGAGGAGAUCGCCGGUUCGAAUCCGGUCGGGCCCGCCA
rnacentral:tRNA from 3 species